UGCCAAUAGUCGCUCUCUCUCUUUUUUUUUUUUCCUUUUUGCAUCAGUGAUGCAUGUCACCUUCCUGCAAGGCAACCAGUUUACAGACCUGGCCAGAGGGAAAAUUACUGGGCAACAGAAUAAAAAGGAGGCAUAAGUCAGCUCAGCUCUCUGAACCCUGGAAAAGGCAACUUCCCUCCAGCUCAUGAAAGAGGACGAUUGUGCUCAGUACCACUCAUCCAGUGCCAACAAUCUGACAACAACAGAGAUCUUCUUUCUCCCAGGAGUGGCCAUGUGAUAGAUUCUGACUGAAAGGGUGUAUUCAUAGAAGGCAUUCUAAUACAGUAUGGAUUCAAUAGAGCAAGCUUUCCCAUUGAGCAUAGUUGGGCAAGUAUUAGGUGAUUUUCUGAAUUUUAUGUUUGGGUUUUGGUAUGUCCUUUUCCUUCUCCUUAAAAUCUGUUCUCAA